GUCAGUGUGGUGCAGUGGUUUCAGGGUUGGACUACAAUGCUGGAGACCAGGGUUCGAAUCCCAGCUCUGCCA